rnacentral:tRNA from 1 species
GUGGGUAUAGCUUAGCUGGUUAAAGCGUCGGAUUGUGGUCCCGAAGACCGUGGGUUCGAAUCCCACUACCCACCCUCCA